GACGAACGCUGGCGGCGUGCCUAAUACAUGCAAGUAGAACGCACAGUUUAUACCGUAGCUUGCUACACCAUAGACUGUGAGUUGCGAACGGGUGAGUAACGCGUAGGUAACCUGCCUGGUAGCGGGGGAUAACUAUUGGAAACGAUAGCUAAUACCGCAUAAUAUUAAUUAUUGCAUGAUAAUUAAUUGAAAGGUGCAAUUUCACCACUACCAGAUGGACCUGCGUUGUAUUAGCUAGUAGGUGAGGUAACGGCUCACCUAGGCGACGAUACAUAGCCGACCUGAGAGGGUGAUCGGCCACACUGGGACUGGGACACGGCCCAGACUCCUACGGGAGGCAGCAGUAGGGAAUCUUCGGCAAUGGACGAAAGUCUGACCGAGCAACGCCGCGUGAGUGAAGAAGGUUUUCGGAUCGUAAAGCUCUGUUGUAAGAGAAGAACGGGUGUGAGAGUGGAAAGUUCACACUGUGACGGUAUCUUACCAGAAAGGGACGGCUAACUACGUG
rnacentral:rRNA from 1 species